UGUGGCUCAGAGGCAGAGCGCUUGCCUAGCAUGCGUGAGGCACUGGGUUUGAUUCCCAGCA
rnacentral:tRNA from 1 species